rnacentral:rRNA from 1 species
UUUGUUACUUCAAACCAAUCGGACUUCGGUCUGACAUCAAGUGAUAUUGAACAAUUUAGCUGAUCGCACGGUCUAAGAACCGGCGACAUAUCCUUCAAAUGUCUGCCUUAUCAACUUUCGAUGGUAGAUUAUGCGCCUACCAUGGUUGUAACGGGUAACGGAGAAUCAGGGUUUGAUUCCGGAGAGGGGGCCUGAGAAACGGCUACCACAUCCAAGGAAGGCAGCAGGCACGCAAAUUACCCACUCCCGGCACGGGGAGGUAGUGACGAAAAAUAACAAGCUGGUCUCAAUGAGUUCCAGCAUUGUAAUGGGAACAAUUUAAAUCUUUUAUCGAGGAUCUAUUGGAGGGCAAGUCUGGCGCCAGCAGCCACGGUAAUUCCAGCUCCAAUAGCGUAUAUUAAAGUUGUUGCGGUUAAAAAGCUCGUAGUUGGAUUUGUGGUGCGCGCCGUGGCGUCCGAUUUUUCGGUUCUGCCUUGGCCGUGCCAUCUUUGGGUGGAACCUGUGUGGCAUUAGGUUGUCGUGCAGGGGAUGCCCAUCGUUUACUGUGAAAAAAUUAGAGUGUUCAAAGCAGGCUUA